rnacentral:pre_miRNA from 1 species
UAAAAGUAUUUGUAUGAAAUGGGAUCGUUUGCGUACGUUUGCCGCUAGGGGCGCUGUUCCAACUGCAUACAAAAUUGGGUUA